UACGUAGGUGGCAAGCGUUGUCCGGAAUUAUUGGGCGUAAAGCGCGCGCAGGCGGCCUUUUAAGUCUGAUGUGAAAGCCCACGGCUCAACCGUGGAAGGUCAUUGGAAACUGAAAGGCUUGAGUACAGAAGAGGAAAGCGGAAUUCCACGUGUAGCGGUGAAAUGCGUAGAGAUGUGGAGGAACACCAGUGGCGAAGGCGGCUUUCUGGUCUGUAACUGACGCUGAGGCGCGAAAGUGUGGGGAGCGAACAGG
rnacentral:rRNA from 1 species